rnacentral:rRNA from 1 species
GUUGACCUCGGAUCAGGUAGGAAUACCCGCUGAACUUAAGCAUAUCAAUAAGCGGAGGAAAAGAAACCAACAGGGAUUGCCUCAGUAACGGCGAGUGAAGCGGCAAAAGCUCAAAUUUGAAAUCUGGCUCUUUUCAGGGUCCGAGUUGUAAUUUGUAGAGGAUGUUUCGGGCAAGACUUCGGUUUAAGUUCCUUGGAACAGGACGUCAUAGAGGGUGAGAAUCCCGUCUUGAACCGUCUGUCGCGUCCGUGUGAAACUCCUUCGACGAGUCGAGUUGUUUGGGAAUGCAGCUCUAAAUGGGAGGUAAAUUUCUUCUAAAGCUAAAUAUUGGCCAGAGACCGAUAGCGCACAAGUAGAGUGAUCGAAAGAUGAAAAGCACUUUGAAAAGAGAGUUAAACAGUAUGUGAAAUUGUUGAAAGGGAAGCUCUUGCAACCAGACUUGUUUCCAACGGUUCAACCGCUGUUUUCAGUGGCCUAUUCCGUUGGUUCAGGCCAGCAUCGGUUCGAGUGGUUAGUUAAAGACUUUGGGAAUGUAUCUACCCCUCCGGGGGUAGACUUAUAGCCCUUUGUGUAAUGUGACCUACCUGGACCGAGGGACGCGCUUUUUGCUCGGAUGCUGGCGUAAUGGUUGUAAGCGACCCGUCUUGAAACACGGACC